UGAUGGCUGUUCCUCUCACUACUUGGAGCCUUAGGUAGUGGGCUUUUAGACCAUCAUAUAUCUAAGCUGACUUGUCUCACAGUACCAUGGGGAUGGGUUGGCUGUCCAUUACUGCCUUCUUAUUUUUGCCGAGUCAAACAAUC
ensembl:snoRNA